rnacentral:lncRNA from 1 species
GUAAUAAAUUGAGAGUAAAUCCCAUAGAAAACUUGAUAUUCCCAGGAAGGAGCUGGCGAGCCCAGAACUUAAAUCUCAUCCAUAUACAACCAAGAAGGUUUAAUGUGCUCUGCCCUCUGAAAUGAUGGAGAAGAUGAUUUAAAAGAUCUCCCACUGCUUGAGAGCCUCCUCUGAUUUCUCUGUGAUGCUGAGGCAAUGUGAAACAAUUAAUCACAAAAAGGAGGUGGGGGUAGGAAGCAAAUAGAUGCCACAAUAAAUGCAGUGAGGCGACAGAACCAACAUUAACCAUAAACAAGUAGAAACAGUGCUCAUAGCUACAAAUAAUCAUCUGUUUUUUUCUUUCCCUUCAACAGAAAAUACAAAAGAAAUUUGAAUGCUCUUUCAGAAGAGAAGGCCUGGAAAAAAAAUACUGAGGAAGUGCAGGAUGAGUGUGGUGGAAGGAUAUGAGUGACUGCUGAUAUAUGAA